AGCGCGCAUCAAGAGCGGAUCAUCUCCGCGCCAACCUGCCUUCCCCGGCAAGGUGGCGGCUCAUCAAAGAGCGAUGCGGCCGAUGUCCGGCAACGAAACGGGAUCUA
rnacentral:ncRNA from 2 species